rnacentral:tRNA from 1 species
UCUACCAAAGGAUAAUAGUAUUCCACUGGUCUUAGCACCAAAAUCCUUGGUGCAAAUCCAA